AUCCCAUGAUGGGACAUCUUCUCAGUAGUUUUUUAAAUCUCUCCCAAGCUUCAUACAAGGAUUCACCAUCAAAUUGUGUGAAUGAGGUGAUAUCGCUCCUAAUUUU
rnacentral:snoRNA from 1 species